UACGUAGGGUCCGAGCGUUGUCCGGAAUUAUUGGGCGUAAAGGGCUCGUAGGCGGUUUGUCGCGUCGGGAGUGAAAACACCGGGCUUAACUCGGUGCUUGCUUUCGAUACGGGCAGACUGGAGGUAUGCAGGGGAGAACGGAAUUCCUGGUGUAGCGGUGAAAUGCGCAGAUAUCAGGAGGAACACCGGUGGCGAAGGCGGUUCUCUGGGCAUUACCUGACGCUGAGGAGCGAAAGUGUGGGGAGCAAACAGG
rnacentral:rRNA from 1 species